rnacentral:rRNA from 1 species
CGGGUGAGUAACGCGUGGGCGACCUGCCUUCGAGUGGGGGAUAACCUUCCGAAAGGAGGGCUAAUACCGCAUGACAUACCGCGCUUGGAUGCGUGGAUAUCAAAGCCGGGGAUCGCAAGACCUGGCGCUUGAAGAGGGGCCUACGUCCGAUUAGCUAGUUGGUGGGGUAACGGCUCACCAAGGCUACGAUCGGUAUCCGGCCUGAGAGGGCGGACGGACACACUGGGACUGAGACACGGCCCAG